rnacentral:rRNA from 1 species
AUUAAAACGCUGGCGGCAUGCCUUACACAUGCAAGUCGAACGGCAGCACGGGGCAACCGUGGUGGCGAGUGGCGAACGGGUGAGUAAAGCAUCGGAACGUGCCCUGGAGUGGGGGAUAACGUAGCGAAAGUUACGCUAAUACCGCAUAUUCUGUGAGCAGGAAAGCAGGGGAUCGCAAGACCUUGCGCUCUGGGAGCGGCCGAUGUCGGAUUAGCUAGUUGGUGGGGUAAAGGCCUACCAAGGCGACGAUCCGUAGCGGGUCUGAGAGGAUGAUCCGCCACACUGGGACUGAGACACGGCCCAGACUCCUACGGGAGGCAGCAGUGGGGAAUUUUGGACAAUGGGCGGAAGCCUGAUCCAGCAACGCCGCGUGAGGGACGACGGCCUUCGGGUUGUAAACCUCUUUUAGUAGGGAAGAAGCGAAAGUGACGGUACCUGCAGAAAAAGCACCGGCUAACUACGUG